UAAAAAUCCCAAAGCCUUUAUUUGUAAAUUGAAUACAUUACAGCAUUUACGGUUCAGAAUAACAGACACAAUAAGGCUGUGAUAACUGACUUAACUUUGUUGCCAGAAUUUUAAUUCAGUUUUACCUGAAGGUCUCUUAAAUCUCUCUUUUAGAAAGAUUUAUCUCAUAUUUGAAGGGAAUAGUAAAAAACUGGACAGAAAUGAGACUAAAACAUUUCUAACUUCCACAUUUGGUCAAGGUGCAAAGUGGCAAAGCUGCAGAAGUAGGUACAGAGCAAACAACAAAACUAUAGUAGAUCAUUAGAUACUACUUUAACUUUAGUAUAGUCUGUUGCUUGUAGUGGUGGCUAGCAUAGCUGUACAUACCUGAUAAUCCCCAUCCUUCAGAAAGGUUAGCAUGCCAAAUACACUCUGAAAUCUAGGAAAACCUUUAUUCUAUAAGCAGCAGCAGAAUGUACCAUUAACAUCAGCUGUAUACAAGAUCAUCCUAAAAUGAAACCUACUUGAUUUUAGACUUACAUUUUGAAAUUUCUCUUGUCUGCAAUAGCAUCAGUUACAAUUGCUAUAUGGAGAAUUCUCUUCUGGAUUUAAGUAAUCACUUGACUCGAGGAGGAACAAGAGGUCUAAACUGAGCUAAGAAAACAUUCAGCAGCAAGAUCAAGUAUUAAAAUUAACCAAAACCCAGACUCAAUUAGCAGUUAUAAUACAGAAUGUACCCUCACCCCAAACUACUGCAACACCAGAGACAAGCUACCUCCUUUACUCUUGUAUUUCUUGCUCAUUUACUUCGCUUUUCCGCUUGGCAGAACACCACAGCAAGAGCAUGACAUAGUGCAAGGUGCUCCAGAAACAAGACACUGUAGGUACCCUAUUAUUCCAGAUAUCUUAAGAGUUCACUUGACACAUAUCAAAGAUUUUAGAAUAUGCCUCCAACAGCAGCUGCCAUUCUUUUACACUUCCUAGGGAAUUGUUUAAAGCUGGAUUUACACCUACAUGCCAUCUUUCGGCAAAAUAAGGUGAAGAAUGUGCUCAACUGUGAACUAACAGAGUGCUAGAAACCAAAAAACCUACUGUGACAGAAUGUUACCAGUUCUAAGUCUUCUGGUGAAGGUAUGCAGAUUACCUAAAAGAAAACACGUUCCCAUUGGCACAACCAGUGUAAGACUACAAGAAAAGAAAACAAAUGAACCAACCAGCAGCUGGUUGGCUUGUCCUUCACAGGUCAGGCACAGGCUGGCCAUUCCUGCAUGUGACAGGAUACCUGAAGCUAACCCAGUACAGCACUCCUGAAUAGAGAGACUUCUUUUCUAGAGGAUGGGUUUGUGACUGCAGAAGGGGCUAAAAAUUAGGGGAGAAAAUCCUAAUAGGAACAAUGAUAUGAGUUAUAGAAUAGAAAGGGAGAAAAGAGAAGACGUUGAACUUUUGUACCGCUGAACAAGAAACACUGUACUAAGAACGUGCACUGAGCAAUGUGAUUUUCUUCUAGACUCUCCUCCACUAUCAUCAGGACUUUACAAUGAAGUCCUGAAUUUGUAAAUUCGCAAACUUUACAAAAGUAACACAAGAGGAAAAGUUGAAGUGUUGAGAACUUACACUACUUUGGGAAGCAAAUCCCCUGGAUGUCAUCCGGCU
ensembl:lncRNA